AUUGAACGCUGGCGGCAGGUUUAACACAUGCAAGUCGAGCGGGGGAAGGUAGCCUGCUACCGGACCUAGCGGCGGACGGGUGAGUAAUGCUUAGGAAUCUGCCUAUUAGUGGGGGACAACAUCUCGAAAGGGAUGCUAAUACCGCAUACGUCCUACGGGAGAAAGCAGGGGAUCUUCGGACCUUGCGCUAAUAGAUGAGCCUAAGUCGGAUUAGCUAGUUGGUGGGGUAAAGGCCUACCAAGGCGACGAUCUGUAGCGGGUCUGAGAGGAUGAUCCGCCACACUGGGACUGAGACACGGCCCAGACUCCUACGGGAGGCAGCAGUGGGGAAUAUUGGACAAUGGGGGGAACCCUGAUCCAGCCAUGCCGCGUGUGUGAAGAAGGCCUUAUGGUUGUAAAGCACUUUAAGCGAGGAGGAGGCUACUCUAGUUAAUACCUAGGGAUAGUGGACGUUACUCGCAGAAUAAGCACCGGCUAACUCUGUGCCAGCCGCCGCCGUAA
rnacentral:rRNA from 1 species